CAUGGGAGAAAGAGGACUCACGGAUCACCCUGAGGUUUUGGGCCUGAGCAGUUGGCAGUUCAAUGAAGUGAAGAUUUUCUGAGAUGGGGAAGAGUGUGGGAAGGGCAGACUUGGAGGGGGCGACGAGGAGUUCAAGUUUGGACAAGUGAGGUAUUAGACAUUGAAGUGGAGAUGUGGAAUAGGCAGCUGGACAUGAGAGCAGAGGGGAGAUCUGGCUAGAGAGAUAAAUUUGGGAGUCUCUCACAUAAAGAUGGGAUUUAAAGCCAUGGGCUGGAUGAGGUCCUCAAGGGCAUAAGCAUAAAUGGAGAAAUGAAGAGGUUUAACCACUGAGUCCUGGGGGCCAUCUCAUGACUAGAGAUCCUGGAGUUGAGGAAGAAUCAGCAAAGACGACAGAAAAGGCAUGUCAGUGAGGAGGGAGGAAAUCCCAGGAGACCUGGCUGUCCUGGAAGCCAAGAGAAGAAAGUGUUGUUAGGAGAGAAUGCUGCUGAUCAUUCAAGGAAGAGGAGGACAAAAUACUCUUGAAGUAAGGAGUGGCUACAUUUAGGAAGAUUUUGGUGGAAUGCUGUGAGCAAAACUGUUAUUGGAUUGGAUUCAAAAGAAAUUUGUCCAAAGAAGUCACGCAAAUGGCCAAUAAGCACAUGAAAAGACGCUAAACAUUAUUAGCCGCCAGAGAAAGACAAAUCAAAAUAACAAUGAGAUACCACCUCACACCCAGGAGGAGGGCUACAACCAAAAGGAAAACAACAAGUGUUGGUGAGGACGCGGAGAAAUGCUUUAAUAAAGGGGGAGCUCAGCCAGCUGAGCUGCGGGGGUGGGGGUGGGGGCAGCGAACUGAACUGCCAGGUGUCAGAAUGGCUGAUUACAGUACCAAGCUGAGUGCAGACUCCUGUUCCCCCCAUGGAACACCCCACUGGUUGAGGUCAGAGGGAUGAGUGCAGAGAGAGGAUCGUCACACUGCUGAGGGAGCCCCAGAACAAAAGACUCCAACAGUUUUAUGGACCCUGCUGUCAGGGAGGCCCCAGCAGAAGGACCUGAAGAAGACCUCUGCCCAAGGCUCAGAGAAAGAGACCUGGAAAUAAAGGCUCUGGGACUAGGAAUGCAAAUACGUGAA
rnacentral:lncRNA from 1 species